UACGGAGGAUGCGAGCGUUAUCCGGAUUUACUGGGUUUAAAGGGUGCGCAGGCGGCCCGUUAAGACAGGUGUGAAAUCCCUGGGCUCAACCUAGGAAUUGCGCUUGUGACUGGCGGGCUCGAGUACGGUAGAGGGGGGUGGAAUUCCUGGUGUAGCAGUGAAAUGCGUAGAGAUCAGGAGGAACACCGAUGGCGAAGGCAGCCCCCUGGGCCUGUACUGACGCUCAUGCACGAAAGCGUGGGGAGCAAACAGG
rnacentral:rRNA from 1 species